rnacentral:lncRNA from 1 species
AGCAGAUUCCCCUGCCUCAUUCCUCGAACCCAGGUCAUGACAACACCCAAUCCUACCAUCUUCAAAGAAUCUGUGGCUACCUUCCUCCAUUAAUCUUCUAUCGAACCUGGAGGAUUACUUAGUAGGUCUAGAACAUUCUCUCCUAACCUGGUUCCGAUUCCUUGACCAUUGGUCCCAACAAGGGCAAAGAGAGACCGGAAUCCUUCUGGUGUGAACCACUGUAGGGAAAGAAAGGUGAGUCUGGUGCUUGCUUUUCCUAACCCCACUGCACUUCAACUCCAGGCCUGGAGCACCAGGAAGAAAGGCUUCGUGCUCCUGCCUUCCCACACUCACCAGACUGAGAGCCUCUUCAUAAAGGGCCUCUUUGAAGAGCCCAAGCAGAAGUUCCAGCUGGUCCUGGUUUAGGGGAAACAGAGGGACAUUGAAGCCCUGGGAACUUCCCCUUAGCACCAGGUAAGUAGGGAAGUCAAGUAAUAGAAAGAAAAGGAGCCAUCUGUGUGCCUGAGCUGUCCCUGGGGACACGGGCAGUGCUCCAAGUCUGCAGGCUCCAAAUGAGGGUGUAAACUCAAACCUUUCUUCCUUUUUCCAGUACGUGUUCCAGCAAGACUGAGGCAGCAGGGCUUAGAACACCUAUCCUUACCCUCCCUUGGAGCGUCCCUAAGAUUUGCUUGGCCUCUGACCAACUUGGCUUUCCCCUUCUUUCUUCUAGAUACAGUACUGCAACACUGCCUGAGAGAUACACCUUUCCCACAGCUGCACUCCCGCCCUCUUCCUCCCUCCCUCAGACAGCCCCUACCUCUGGCAGCCUCCCCACUUGGGCAGCUCCAAAGGAAGGCUGAGGGCCUUAGUGUCUUAUUCUCACCUCACCAAUUUCACAACUCUCUGACCCGUGGAGCCCCAGCCCUUCCACUCUCCAGAAAACCUGAUGUGUCUGCUGCUGCCUUCCUCAGAGUCUUGCCUUCCCACAUGGGGUAAUAAGCACUCCUGGGUAGGACAUGCAGCCCUUUGUCCCUACUUCCAAUUUUAGAUCUAUAUUAGGUCGCAAAGGUAAGUGGCACUAGGAUGUGCAUUCUUUGAAGGGAUUUUCAGGACCAGAUUUUAACCCCUGCUGUAGCUGAGAAGAGGGCAAAUGUAGAGUUUCCCCUAAAAGUAGCCACAGACACCGCGGGCUACUUGAGGGGCUGGGGUAAGGGCUGUGGGAGAAAGCCGACCUUGAACUUGCCCUUUAGGAGUUUGUGGACAAUUGCCUGCUCCUGGUUGGCUGUCCUGCUGCAGAAGUGGUUGAAGAGUCUGACCCAGUGGUCCUUGUCCUUGGCCUACACAGCAAAUGCACACGUCCGUGUGGAAGAGAGGUGUUAUGUUUCUCAAGUCCCUGCUGUCAGGGAAUGACCACCACCCAGGUCUCCCUUCCCACUUUGCCCACACUCAGCCACUUCCCAGCUGGGGCAGGGCUUGCCAACUCAAAACACCUUGAAAACAGAAGGCCAUAGAGGAAGAAUAGUGAAGACAGAAGGGGUCCACAAGACCUCUUGAUGUAAGAAACACUAUCCUGGGAUAGUGAUCCCUAUUGACCAAAUUUGGGAACUGCUGCUACAGAUCUCUCAGAAAAAUGAAGACAGGCAAAACCAGGGGCCACAGCCUACACCUGAUUUAAAGUUAGCAUGCUCUGGAGAUUCUACAGAGCAAGCAGCUGUCCUUCAGGAAACCCAGACGCAAGAGCACCCAAGCAAGGUCAGAUGGCUGAGACCUAGGGCUGACUGGGCCACCUUCUCUGGCUCACCUGUUUCACCGUGGCUACCAUCCGGGCCAUCAGCAUUAUACUCGCAGUCUCAGGAGGAUAGUGAACACUCCUAGGGAAAGAGGAAAAACAUGUAACCUACAAGACCCCCUCCCUAGGAGCAGAGCCAAGCAAACCCAGCAUGAAGGCUACAGACACACUUCCUGCCUAGUCCAUCAGUUAUCAAAGGCUGGACUUAGGCAACUUUGUAUCCCUUAGGGUUGGGUGGACCCUCUGGCAGUGUAGUGUCUAAAGUACUGAAGAUGCUAGGGCUGGCUGUUCAGAUUAAAACAGGUUGCCAAAACUGUGACUUCUAUUUAGGAAUAUAACUCACCAAAGCUCCCCAUAGCUGCUGAGCUGAGGCAGGAAUGGAGGGAAGAGUAGGGAAGAGGAAGAGACUUACCUCCAUGCCUCCUGCAGCUUAUUGAGGGGGUGCCGGGGGUCAUGGGAUGGGCCUGGGCACAGGAUUUGGUGGUACUGCUCUGCAGCUGCUAGCCGACAUUCUGCACUGCAGUACAUCACCUGUUAGGUAGAGUGGAGGUUAGCACACAGGACCUGAGGCUCUGACCUCAUCUAACUGCAUUUUUUUCCAUAACAGCCCUAGAGCAAGAGCUCAGUGAGGAUAAAAUAGGGUGUUGUAGGGGCAUGCACCUAACCUAAGCUCUUUAUACUACACGAAGGGAAGAGAGCUUUCCCAGCGUCUUGCAGAUUCCCAAGAAAAAGGCAUGUCCCCAUGUGAUGAUUUAAUAACUGCCCUCACAACUCAUGUGUUUGAAUGCUUGGCCAUAGGGAGUGGCAUUAUUAGGAGGUGUGGCCUUGUUGGAGACAAUAUGUCACUGUGUGGGUAGGCUUUGAGGUCAUAUGUGCUCAAGCAACACACAGUGUGGACAGUCUCCUGCUGCUUGCAGAUCAAGAUAUAGACCUCUCAGCUCCUCCAGCACCAUGUCUGCCUGCAUACUGCCAUGCUUCCCGCCAUGCUGAUAAUGGACUAAACCUCUCAAACUGUAAGCCAGCCCUAAUUAAAUGGUUUCCUUU